rnacentral:lncRNA from 1 species
AGAGAUGGAGGGAGAGUGUAAACAUACUACUGGAGAUGAUCAGGAGGUACAUGAGUCUUGCUGGACCUUCUAGGAGCAGGUUCUGCAGACACAGAAGGAGAAUGGUGUGGGGAAGAAGGGAAAGAAGAAGGAGAAGCAAGGGGUGCAUGCACAGAAGGAGAAGGUGAAGAAGUAUUGAGCAAGGAGUCAUCAGUAGGAGGAAUCCAAGCAGGAGAUGAACUAAG